UACGUAGGUGGCAAGCGUUGUCCGGAUUUAUUGGGCGUAAAGGGCUCGCAGGCUGUCUUUUAAGUCUGAUGUGAAAUCUUACGGCUUAACCGUAAGCGGUCAUUGGAAACUGGAGGACUUGAGUGCAGAAGAGGAGAGUGGAAUUCCAUGUGUAGCGGUGAAAUGCGUAGAGAUAUGGAGGAACACCAGUGGCGAAGGCGACUCUCUGGUCUGCAUCUGACGCUGAGGAGCGAAAGCGUGGGUAGCGAACAGG
rnacentral:rRNA from 1 species